rnacentral:misc_RNA from 1 species
AAAAAAAAAAAAAAAAAUAAUAUCGUGCAUGCCCUUAUGAUGAGAAAUUCAAUUAAGGCAUAGAUAUAUUAAAAAAUAAAAUCUUUGGUUGCACACGUGAUUAGAAACCACUUAAAGAAAAAAUUUUUGGAAAGAAGAUUUAAGAAAUCCUUUUGAGGAUCUUAAGAGAUAAUCUCACUACAUAACAUCCCUGAUAUAUUCCCCCGUUCUUUCAAUUGAAAUAGUUUAUUAUCUUUCCAGCAAGGAAAAAAGAAACUACUCCCACAUUUAAAUUCUAUGGAUAUGUGGAAACAUAAAUUGUACCAAUUAUAGUGAUUUCUCAGCAUCCAAACAGCAGGUAGCAUUCAAGCCACCAUCAUAU